CUACGGAGGGGGUUAGCGUUGUUCGGAAUUACUGGGCGUAAAGCGCACGUAGGCGGACUGGAAAGUUGGGGGUGAAAUCCCGGGGCUCAACCCCGGAACUGCCUCCAAAACUUCCAAUCUAGAGAUCGAGAGAGGUGAGUGGAAUUCCAAGUGUAGAGGUGAAAUUCGUAGAUAUUUGGAGGAACACCAGUGGCGAAGGCGGCUCACUGGCUCGAUACUGACGCUGAGGUGCGAAAGCGUGGGGAGCAAACAGGAUUAGAAACCCCAGUAGUCC
rnacentral:rRNA from 1 species